rnacentral:ncRNA from 2 species
AUUAUCAGCAGUGACUGGCGAAAACGUGGAACGAACCACAGGGGAGCUGCGACUUAUUUUUAUCAUCAGCCAUCAUGCCGAUCGCCUGGGCAAAAGGC